CGGGCGCUGGGGCCCACCGACAGGGGAAGACCGCGGCCUCCGAGGGUGAGGGGAACAGCCAUCUGGCCUUGUCUGCUGAUUCCACCGUUCAUCCCCUCAGCCCUGGAACAACAAUUUCCGAUGAUAAGCACUAUUCACAACAGCCAAAAGGUGGAAGCAACCUAAAUGCCCAUCAACAGAUGAAUGGAUAAAUAACAUGUGAUACGUAUAUACAAUGGAAUACUACUCAGCCAGUAGGAGAAAUGAAGUCUUGAUACAUGCUACAGUACAGAUGGAGCUUGAAGACAUUAUGCUAAGCUAAAUAAGCCAAUCACAAAAGGACAAAUAUUGUAUGACCUCACAUAUAAAAAGACAAGAAAGGGCAAAUGUAUAUCAGGGGUUGCCAGGGGCGGGAGGAAGGGGGAGAAGGGGGUCAACAGUGAUGGAAAAAUCGCAAUGAUUAAGGGUAGGGUUGCACAGCCAAUUACUGUAAUUGCUGUCAAUAAGUUGUACACCUAUAAAAUAAAAAACAAACAAACAAACAAAAACUCUGUGGCCUGGCCCCGCCUUUUGAGCUGAUCUUCCUCACUGAGGCACAGACAACUCCCACACACCCUCCGACGGGAGGAGGUUGAGUAAACCAGUCACCCACUGAAAUCUGAUGAGUGUACAUACUGAGGAUCAAAUCCAAACUCCUUCCUGAGGAAUACAGGCCCCAGACCUCUGCCAUUCUCCCUCUGGCUCAGCUCACUCAGCCCCUCACUGCUCCUUCCAGUCACUACCUUGCUCCCUAAGUCAGAGCCUUUCAACUCUGUUCUGUCUUCCGGCAGAUUAUGGCCUAUUUGUCCCCUUCUCAGCAAUCAAGUCUUGGCUUAAAGCUGCUUCUUUGGAGAGGACUUCCCUGACUAUCUUGCCUAAAAUAGAUCACCCAUCCUACUCUCCUCCACAUUCGGGCAAAUAUUCAUUUAGCAUCU